GACGUAGGGCGCGAGCGUUGUCCGGAUUUAUUGGGCGUAAAGAGCUCGUAGGCGGCUCGUUGCGUCGGCUGUGAAAACCCGCAGCUCAACUGUGGGCUUGCAGCUGAUACGGGCGGGCUGGGAUUCGGUAGGGGAGACUGGAAUUCCUGGUGUAGCGGUGGAAAUGACGCAGAUAUCAGGAGGAACACCGGUGGCGAAGGCGGGUCUCUGGGCCGAUAUUGACGCUGAGGAGCGAAAGCGUGGGGAGCGAACAGG
rnacentral:rRNA from 1 species